GGGGAUGUAUAGUUUCGACAGGAUUGCUCUUUAAAAACUGCAAGUCGAAGAGGAAACAUUAUUCGUUAAAUAUUGUUUCAAAACAUACACGCCAAAAAUACUGGCCGUGAUGAUGUAGUAAAAGCUGUAAAAAGCUUCGGUAGCGAUGUUCUCGCCUUUAUUGGUGGAACUCAAACCGCUGCAUACGCAGUAGCUUAAUCAUCUACUUUAGUAACUCUUCUUUCUGACGAGAGUCUAAGGUAUGUACAAAGUCAGGAUGCACAAUUUUACUUAAUCCAGGUAAAAUUGGACAAGCAAUUUGGAUUAAGCGUUAAUCUUCCUGCUAACGGGUUACAAAUUAACGCUCAAAAAAAUACAUUAGCUAAACUUGUAGAAGUUUUUUUGGAAAUAUUUCUGGACGGCGGUGCAAAACCGCCCAUCUCCACCA
rnacentral:tmRNA from 1 species